rnacentral:rRNA from 1 species
UACGGGGGGGGCAAGCGUUGUUCGGAAUUACUGGGCGUAAAGGGCUCGUAGGCGGCCAACUAAGUCCGACGUGAAAUCCCAAGGCUUAACCUUGGAGCUGCGUCGGAUACUGGAUGGCUUGAAUUCGGGAGAGGGAUGCAGAAUUCCAGGUGUAGCGGUGAAAUGCGUAGAUAUCUGGAGGAAUACCGGUGGCGAAGGCGGCAUCCUGGACCGACAUUGACGCUGAGGAGCGAAAGCUAGGGGAGCAAACGGG